AAGGAUUCCCCUAGUAACUGCGAGUGAAGCGGGAAAAGCUCAAAUUUAAAAUCUGGCGGUCUUUGGCCGUCCGAGUUGUAAUCUAGAGAAGUGUUAUCCGCGCUGGACCGUGUACAAGUCUCCUGGAAUGGAGCGUCAUAGAGGGUGAGAAUCCCGUCUUUGACACGGACUACCAGUGCUUUGUGAUGCGCUCUCAAAGAGUCGAGUUGUUUGGGAAUGCAGCUCAAAAUGGGUGGUAAAUUCCAUCUAAAGCUAAAUAUUGGCGAGAGACCGAUAGCGAACAAGUACCGUGAGGGAAAGAUGAAAAGAACUUUGGAAAGAGAGUUAAACAGUACGUGAAAUUGCUGAAAGGGAAACGCUUGAAGUCAGUCGCGUUGGCCGGGAAUCAGCCUUGCUUUUGCUGGGUGUACUUUCUGGUUAACGGGUCAGCAUCAAUUUUGACCGUUGGAUAAAGUGCAGGGGAAUGUGGCAUCUUCGGAUGUGUUAUAGCCUCUGUUCGCAUACAACGGUUGGGAUUGAGGAACUCAGUACGCCGCAAGGCCGGGAAUUUAUUCCACGUUCGUACUUAGGAUGCUGGCAUAAUGGCUUUAAUCGACCCGUCUUGAAACACGGACCAAGGAGUCUAACAUGCCUGCGAGUGUUUGGGUGGAAAACCCGAGCGCGUAAUGAAAGUGAAAGUUGAGAUCCCUGUCGCGGGGAGCAUCGACGCCCGGACCAGACCUUUUGUGACGGAUCUGCGGUAGAGCAUGUAUGUUGGGACCCGAAAGAUGGUGAACUAUGCCUGAAUAGGGUGAAGCCAGAGGAAACUCUGGUGGAGGCUCGUAGCGAUUCUGACGUGCAAAUCGAUCGUCAAAUUUGGGUAUAGGGGCGAAAGACUAAUCGAACCAUCUAGUAGCUGGUUCCUGCCGAAGUUUCCCUCAGGAUAGCAGAAACUCAUUUCAGAUUUAUGUGGUAAAGCGAAUGAUUAGAGGCCUUGGGGUUGAAACAACCUUAACCUAUUCUCAAACUUUAAAUAUGUAAGAACGAGCCGUCUCUUGAUUGGACCGCUCGGCGAUUGAGAGUUUCUAGUGGGCCAUUUUUGGUAAGCAGAACUGGCGAUGCGGGAUGAACCGAACG
rnacentral:rRNA from 1 species